UAAAGGAUAGUUCUAGCCCUUAAUAUCAUCUAUUUACAAAAUUACACAUGCAAGUAUCCGCACCCCCGUGAGGACCCCCUUUAACUAUCGCAAUAGAAAAAGAGCUGGCAUUAGGCUCACAUUACUAGCCCACAACGCCUAGCCACCCACACCCUCAAGGGUAUCCAGCAGUGAUAAACUUUAAGCAAUGGACAAAAGUCCGACUAAGUUAUGUAUCUCAGAGCCGGUAAACCUCGUGCCAGCCACCGCGGUUACACGAGGGGCUCAAGUUGAUAUUUACGGCGCAAAGCGUGAUUAAAAAUAUGUUCCAUCACUAUAGAAGCCAUUAUGCCUACUAGUUGAAUAGACACGCUUAAAUAUUUCAUUAUCGAAAGAAUCUAUAAUAAUAAACUCUAUUUGACAUCACGAAAGCAAAGCCACAAACCGGGAUUAGAUACCCCGUUAUGCCUGCUGUUAAUAAACAACCGUCGCCAGGGUAUUACGAACAACUUGUUUAAAACCCAAAGAACUUGAUGACACCCUAAACCCACCUAGAGGAGCCUGUUCUUUAAACCGAUAACCCACGCUAUACCCAACCACUUCUAGUCACCAGUCUAUAUACCGCCGUCACCAGCCAACCUCAUAAAAGAAUCACCGUAGGCAAAAAAGCUACUAUGCAAAUACGUCAGGUCGAGGUGCAGCCCACGAAGUGGGAAGAAAUGGGCUACACUCUUUAUCACAAAGAAAACGAAUUAUUUAAUGAAAAAAUUUUGAAGGUGGAUUUAGCAGUAAAUGAAAAUCACCCUGUCUCAUUGAAGCCGGCUUCUAGGGUGCGUACAUACCGCCCGUCACUCUCCUUCCUCAUUCCCCCAUUGGAGAAAAGUCGUAACAUGGUAAGCGUACCGGAAGGUGUGCUUAGAAA
rnacentral:ncRNA from 1 species